CCCCACCAGCACCAGGGCAACCACCAUGGCGCGUGGGCACAUCACCUGUCACCACGCAUGAUGUACCCCAGCACCCACUCACGCAGCUGCCCCCAGCUCUCCCACCAUGGAUGAUGCCGUGGUGCUGGGGAAGAAAGGCUACAGCCUGAGCAAGACGCUGGGAGAAGGUUCCUAUGGCAAAGUGAAAUCCGCCUACUGCGACCGGCUGAAAUGCAACGUGGCCAUCAAGAUCAUCGACAAGAGGAAAAUUCCUCAGGACUUCCUGGAAAGAUUCCUGCCCCGGGAAAUCGAGGCUUUGAAGCGUUUGCAACACCCCUCGAUCAUCAAAACCUAUGAGAUUUUUGAGACAUCAGCUAGGAAAGUGUACAUCGUGAUGGAGCUGGGGGAAAAGGGAGACCUCCUGGACUACAUCAAGAUCACAGGAGCUAUGGAAGAGGACAUCGCUCGCACCAAGUUCCAACAGUUGGCUUCCGCCAUCAAGUACUGCCACGACUUGGACUUUGCUCACAGGGACCUCAAAUGUGAGAACAUCCUUCUCGAUGUAGACCUCAACAUCAAGCUGUCAGACUUUGGCUUUUCCAAAUCCUUGUCUCGGGAUGAAAAUGGCAAAACUAUUCUCAGCAAAACCUUCUGCGGGUCUGCUGCAUACGCAGCCCCCGAAGUGCUGCAGGGCAUCCCUUGCGACCCCAGGGCUUCUGACAUAUGGAGUCUGGGUGUCAUCCUGUACACCAUGGUCUACGCCUUAAUGCCAUUUGAUGAUUCCAAUGUCAGGAAGAUGAUCUCUAUUCAGAAACAACAAAGGAUUCCCUUCCCCAACUCAAAAAACCUGACAGUAGAGUGCAAGGACCUCAUUUACCGCUUGCUCCAGCCCAACGUGUCUCAGAGGAUAUGCAUAGAUGAGGUUUUGAAACACUCGUGGUUGCAGAGGCCAGAACCCGCAGUCCCUUCCCCUCUGCCAGCUGCAGAAGAGGGUGAGCUUCCCCAAAACCCACAGGAGUGAAAGCCUGAGCACAAGCUGCAAACCAAAUCUGCAGAAAGGGAAGGGGGAAAGAAAUAAGAGGGAACCUCUUGAGGAUGGUGAGCUGGUGGCUGUCAGCUUCUCUGGACCCUUUCAGAAAUAGUCCUCAUCUUGUGCUUUAUGAAGUAGAGCAACGGGAAGACACGGCACAUCUGCUGAGCUCUAGAGAAGCAUCACCCAGAGAUAAAGCAAGCAGCCACAGCACCCUGGUUGCCUAGGAAGGCUCGCUGCCCUCAAGACGAUCCCUAAGCAACGGCACAGCAGCUUGCUCAGAGCCUCUCGGGUACAGCACGGCCUCUCUUGCCGGUGCAUCGGACCAGCAUUUAAGCACUGCAUCGAGCUGGCACACAUAUGCUAUACCAGAAAGCCAUCAGCUCAUGAGACACAUCCAGAUAGAAGGCUUACUUCCUUCUCUAAACCAACGACACCCCAGCGUUGAACAAACAGAGCGUCAAAGUAAGUGGAGUAACAGUUCUCUUACAUCAGAAAAAAUAAGAAAACC